rnacentral:rRNA from 1 species
GGAGACAGCCCAGAUCGUCGUCUAAGGUCCCGAAGCGUGUGCUAAGUGGGAAAGGAUGUGGAGUCGCAUAGACAGCCAGGAGGUUGGCUCAGAAGCAGCCACCCUUGAAAGAGUGCGUAACAGCUCACUGGUCUAGUGGUUCCGCGCCGACAAUGUAGCGGGGCUCAAGCACGCCACCGAAGACGCGGCAGCGUCCGUUUGGAUGCUGGGUAGGAGAGCGUCCCCAUCGGGGCGAAGCGGCGGCGCAAGCCUGCCGUGGACCGUUGGGGAGUGAGAAUGCAGACAUGAGUAGCGAGAGACGGGUGAGGAUCCCGUCCGCUGGAUGACCAAGGGUUCCGGGGCCACUUUCGUCGUCCCCGGGGGAGUCUGGUCCUAAGGCGAGGCCGACAGGCGUAGUCGAAUGGAUGAACGGGCUGAUAUUCCCGUACCGGCAGCGAACCGAAACAACCGAGGCCUGGGGCGCUAACCUCCGGGUCCGUGCCGUCUCCCCUUUCGGGGGGUCGCGGCGCGGGCGCGUUGGGAUCCCCCCUCGUAGUAGGUCAGCGCAGGAGUGACGCAUCAGGGCAGCCGGCCGCGGAGGUGGUUUUCCGUGGUCAAGCGUUCGAGCCCGUCCCGCAGGCAAAUCCGCGGGGCGUCGGGGCGAGGCGUGAUGAUGGGGGCCUUACGGCCCGAAUCCGGUGAUCCGUGGUGCCGAGAAAAGCUUCGGCGUCAGGCGCGUUGCCGCCCGUACCCCAAACCGACACUGGUGGUCAGGUAGAGAAUACCAAAGCGAUCGAGCGAAUCCUGGUCAAGGAACUCGGCAAAUUGCUCCCGUGCCUUCGGCAUAAGGGAGACCCCCUGCGGUGAUGAGCGGCGGGGGGUGGCACAGGCCAGGGGGUAGCGACUGUUUACCAAAAACACAGGAGCGUGCGAAGGCGCAAGCCGCUGUAUACGCUCUGACGCCUGCCCGGUGCCGGAAGGUUAAGAGGAUCCGUCAGCUUCUGCGAAGCGGUGAAUUCAAGCCCCGGUAAACGGCGGUGGUAACUAUAACCAUCCUAAGGUAGCGAAAUUCCUUGUCGGGUAAGUUCCGACCUGCACGAAUGGCGUAACGACUUCCCCACUGUCUCGACCAGGAGCUCGGCGAAAUUGCAGUACGAGUAAAGAUGCUCGUUAAGCGCAGAAGGACGAAAAGACCCCGGGACCUUUACUAUACCUUGGUAUUGGCAUUAGGCGCGGAUUGUGUAGCAUAGGCGGGAGGCUUCGAGGCGGGUGCGCCAGCAUCCGCGGAGCCGCAAGGUGAAAUACCGCUCUGUUCUCGUUUGAUGUCUAACCUCGAACAGUCAUCCUGUUCAGGGACAGUGCCUGGCGGGUAGUUCAACUGGGGCGGUUGCCUCCCAAAGAGUAACGGAGGCGCUCAAAGGUCCGCUCGGCCCGGUUGGCAAUCGGGUGUCGAGUGUAAUCGCACAAGCGGGCUUGACUGCGAGAUCGACGGAUCGAGCAGGGACGAAAGUCGGAGAUAGUGAUCCGGUGCCGGCGCACGGGCGCGGCAUCGCUCAACGGAUAAAAGGUACCCCGGGGAUAACAGGCUGAUCAUUCCCAAGAGUCCAUAUCGACGGGGAGGUUUGGCACCUCGAUGUCGGCUCGUCGCAUCCUGGGGCUGGAGCAGGUCCCAAGGGUUCGGCUGUUCGCCGAUUAAAGCGGCACGCGAGCUGGGUUCAGAACGUCGUGAGACAGUUUGGUCUCUAUCCUCUGCGCUCGUUGGAAUGCUGAGGAGGCCUGCCCAUAGUACGAGAGGACCUGGGUGGACGAACCUCUGGUAUGCCGGUUGUCACGCCAGUGGCACGGCCGGUUGGCUACGUUCGGAAGGGAUAACCGCUGAAAGCAUCUAAGCGGGAAGCCUUCUCCAAGAUAAGGAUUCCAUGCGGCCCCGAGCCGCUGAAGACCCCAUGCAGAACACGUGGUUGAUAGGCCGGACGUGGAAGCCCCGCGAGGGGUGGAGCCGACCGGUACUAAUGGUCGAGAGGCAACCCACA